rnacentral:rRNA from 1 species
AUUGAACGCUGGCGGCAUGCUUUACACAUGCAAGUCGAACGGUAACAGGCCGCAAGGUGCUGACGAGUGGCGAACGGGUGAGUAAUGCAUCGGAACGUGCCCAGUCGUGGGGGAUAACGCAGCGAAAGCUGUGCUAAUACCGCAUACGAUCUAUGGAUGAAAGCGGGGGACCGGAAGGCCUCGCGCGAUUGGAGCUGCCGAUGUCAGAUUAGGUAGUUGGUGGGGUAAAGGCCCACCAAGCCAACGAUCUGUAGCUGGUCUGAGAGGACGACCAGCCACACUGGGACUGAGACACGGCCCAGACUCCUACGGGAGGCAGCAGUGGGGAAUUUUGGACAAUGGGCGCAAGCCUGAUCCAGCAAUGCCGCGUGCAGGAAGAAGGCCUUCGGGUUGUAAACUGCUUUUGUACGGAACGAAACGGUCUGGGUUAAUACCCUGGGCUAAUGACGGUACCGUAAGAAUAAGCACCGGCUAACUACGUGCCAGCCGCCGCUGUAACAC